rnacentral:lncRNA from 1 species
CUGAUAUUGGCGAAUAAUGUUGUCGUCUUUAAACAUAACAAAACAAGAUCCAGAAGGCUUUUCCAUUUUUUCCUUUCAACACAAACUUUGUCAUAUUGUUUAAUAUUAACUAUUUAGAAGCUAAUUAACUAGAGUUUUGUCUCCAUAUCUUUAUUCCUAUUGACUUUUGGCAUUUAUAUUGGUCAUUAACACUUCCUCUAUAAAGAGACCAUGGGAAGGGAGGCAAUUUGCUUCCUGUUGACAGAGUUUGGAAUAUGAUUGAUGGGGGCAGAAGGUGAAACUAUGUGGUAAAAUGAGUUUUUUGCAUUAUCUGUGUAUUUCAUAUAUCAAUGCCAGUAUUUCUCAAACUGCAGGUCAAGACUCCAGAGGGAAGGGUUACAAUAUAAUUUAAGGAGUUUCAUAUAUGGGAACUAUUUAGAAGUGGAACUUGUGGGCUAUAUUGAGAGUAUCUGCAAGAAAGAGAAGCAAGACCUUUCCUUUUCCAAAUCUUAGGAAGAGAUCGUUGCUGACAUGACCUGGAUUAAUCUCUGUGGCCUGACAUGACAGAACAUGGUUGCAUUAUGAUUGGCCCUGCUUACAUUUCCUUCCCAUUCCCAGCAGACCUCAGCAACCUAGGAGCAAGUUCGAAGACAGUGGAUACUUACUGGGAUCUUGGCAGAGGAGGAGGAGGAAAAGCCAAAGAUUGCAGGGAAAGAUAUUGAUGCGAUUAUUUGAAAUAACAGGUAAUGGGAUCUGAGCUAGAUGGGGGGACAGUGGGAUGAUGCCGUCAAGUGGGAAAGAUGUAGAGGACA